UGGCAUCUUCGUGACUCGAUUAUGG
rnacentral:piRNA from 1 species